ACCAGACUCCUACGGGAGGCAGCAGUGGGGGAUAUUGCACAAUGGGGGGAACCCUGAUGCAGCGACGCCGCGUGGGUGAAGGAGUAUUUCGGUAUGUAAAGCCCUAUCGGCAGGGAAGAAACAAGACGGUACCUGACUAAGAAGCCCCGGCUAACUACGUGCCAGCAGCCGCGGUAAUACGUAGGGGGCGAGCGUUAUCCGGAUUCACUGGGUGUAAAGGGAGCGUAGACGGCCAAGCAAGCCAGGGGUGAAAGCGCGGGGACCAACCCCGGGACUGCCCUUGGAACUGCAUGGCUGGAGUGCGGGAGGGGCAGGCGGAAUUCCUGGUGUAGCGGUGAAAUGCGUAGAUAUCAGGAGGAACACCGGCGGCGAAGGCGGCCUGCUGGACCGCGACUGACGUUGAGGCUCGAAAGCGUGGGGAGCGAACAGGAUUAGAUACCCGAGUA
rnacentral:rRNA from 1 species